rnacentral:piRNA from 1 species
UAACAUUUGGAGAAUGGAUCUGGGUUCCU